GUUCGAUCGUUGCACAGAAAAAAGAAGCCUGCCUUGCUGAUUAAACUGGACAUUGCUCGAGCUUUCGACUCGGUCUCCUAGGAGUUUAUGUUUGAACUGUUACAGCAGCUUGGUUUUAGCAGCCGCUGGAGGGACUGGAUUGCCAUGCUGCUCAGAUCAUCCUCAUCUGCUUUCCUGUUAAACGGCGACCCUGGCAUCCCUCUCAUCCACCGCCGUGGGCUGCGGCAAGGAGACUCGUUGUCCCCGUUGUUGUUUAUCCUUGCCAUUGACAUCCUCCACCGGCUCAUAACAAAAGCUGCUGACGACGGCAUUCUUGCCCCGUUGCCUGGAAGAGAACUGAAACUGCGCACCAGCAUGUACGCUGAUGAUGUUGUCAUCUUCGCAAACCCAGUUCGGAAGAGCUUGACAAACUGUUUCAGAUCAUCACCAGCUUUGGGGAAGUCUCAGGCCUGCACCUCAACAUCAGCAAGUGCACCAUCACACCCAUUCGCUGUGAUCACAUUAACCUUCAGGAAGUUCUGCAUGCGUUUAGCGGACAGAUUAUUGCCUUCCCAAUACGCUACUUGGGAUUACCAAUAA
rnacentral:rRNA from 1 species